CCCGGAUCCGCAUCUUGGUGUCCUUCCGGCUGCCCGUGCCUUUGCUCAGAUUCGACAUGGUGCUCGUCCCCUCCCCGGCGGCGGCUUCAGGGCAUGUGGACUAGGGAUGGGUACUUGAACAGAAGCCAGCAACCCGAAGGAAGAGUUUGUGCAGGAGUUAACUGCAGUGUUGGAAUGACUGUCCUGUAUGUUUAACAAGGUAUUCGGACUGGAUGUGCACACCCCAGCUCUCAGGACCUAGAGUGGAGAUGUUAAAUCUACAAAUACAUUUUCUGCUGGACUCAGGGCUUAUAAACGUUAAAACCUGUUUUUCAUUACCAUUAAAAUAAAAUGACAGCUCCCUUAAUGUAAUGCAAUUAUUUUGGUAAAUAUUGUUAAAUGGAAUGAUAGAAACCUAUCUUUAACCUGACAGAUCAUUUCUACCAUUACAGCGAGCAUUGUAGAUUUUUAAAGACAAAAUUACCGUCUGAUUCAGUUUGCUCUGUGUUUGGAAGGGUUUUUGUUUUUGUAUUUUGGGGGGAGAGUUACUCCUAGUCAAAACGUCUAGUUUGACUCAUCAGUUUUGCUUUUCAUUCAUUAUGAAUUGUACUUCCUGAUUUACCUACUUGCCCAAUUGUUGUUCGACUUGAGUUUCCAACUCUUCCGGGGAAGAUGUGAGUUUCAGUGUUUGUGAUCUUCCCAUUUUAAAUAAGCUGUUGUUGGGAUGGAUAUCUACAUUUAAAAACUGGGAUUUCAAUACUUUUUUGUAUCACACUUAAUAAGUAAACUGAAAUAUACUUAAUUAUUUGUUGACUAUAAGGUUGAAUUUGCCCUAAAUUAAUCCUGGUGACUAAGCUUAUGGGUGUUGUGCUUUCAGCCCUACUUGGUUGAAAUGCCCCAUUGGAAAUAUCAUAUUUUCUUGUUUUGUUUUUUGGUAUUUGCUAAUCAAAACAGGAGCUUAAGAAAGGAGAAUGAAUGUUGCUUGAGGCAAUGUCUGUGUAAAUCCUGAAGCUAAAAAUAGGUCAUCAAGAAAUGUGUUAAUAAGGUGAAUGAGACAGAUGAGACCUGCCAUCACAAAAUGAAUAGUCCUUUUUCACAUCUCAAAAUUUGCAAACCACCAACCCGAGUUUGAUUUGGCAACAACUUCCUAUAUACUUCAGUCCAGAGGUCAGAGAUUUUCCUUCAUAAGGAAGUAACAUCCUCAAAAUGUACACCUUUAGAAGGUAUGUAGUAAAACCUUCUAAAACAGCAGUAGACUAUUCUUCUGUGCCCAGCGGUAUUCCCUGACUUGCACAUAGUGAAUGAACUAUUAGCUUUUCUGCAAACUGCCACCUGAUCUAGCAGAGAAAACAGUGCUGGAAUAGGAACUCACUAGAUCUUACAUGCCUGCCUGUUGGUAUUCCUACUCAUGCUGACGGUGUCCUGACACAGGGAAACAGUGGCCCCAUUUCUAUUUAUUCGUAUGGAGCAUGUGCAGUCAGAGAGGUUGGACGGCUGGGUGGGCCAGCCCAUUUUCUAUAUCCGUGUCUGUAAAAGAGCAGUAUGAAGUAAGAGGAGCUGGUAAAUGGGAGUAAUGGCCUCUUACUGACUAUGGCUUUCUAAGUAUUUAGGAUACCAAGCCACUUUAAUCACCAUUUCAGACCUACUGAUUUGAUUGUGCAAGACACUGGUUAUUAAAACAGCUCACAGCCUACCAAAUCAAUUAUUAUAGAAAGACCUGCUCAGUGGUUUUGAAGAGACCAAAAAACUAUGUUAGGAGAAGAUGCAUGUUUUUUCAAACUGGAAGGUGAAGAUAUAUAGAUAUUAUCAGCAAUUUGAUUGGAAGGCCUAGAUCUACUUUCUUUCUCAUCCCCACCAGGCAAAUAAUAAGCCAUUAGACGUGGAGUUGUACGUAUUUAGAGUAGUAGCAUGCAUAUGUGCAUUAUAAGAAGACAUGUUAUUAGCAAAAUAAGAGUUCCCCAUUGAGAACAUAACCAUAGAUACUUAAAUAUAUGAAAGCUGUAGGCCUUUCCCAUGUACCUUUUCUACUUUGUCCUUACCAUUUUCCUUUUAUCACUGAGACAAGAAACAUAUAAGCAUGUGAGACAAGUUACAUCUUGAAGUAAAGAAAAAAUCUCCAGUGUCUGAUUAUAUCAUAAAAAACCAUCUCAAUUUUUCAUCACACUGUCAUACUGAAUAAAAUCAUCUCACUGGCAGCUCUGGAAACUUUCUAGGUGGCUUGAAUAGUGUUCUGUUUACUCUAUAUUUACCAAAUAAAUUAAUAUUUUAGAAAUAAAAAUAUCUAUGUAUACAACCAAUUUAACAGAAUAUAAAUUCUCAAUUAAAAAUUAUAGGUACUGCAUCCAUGUAAUUUUAUUUUGAAUAAAAAGAAUUUCCUCUUAUUGAUACCAUUACAACAGUAACUAUAUCAGGAAACCUCCAGGGGACAAUUAUGAGUAUGCAUUGCUUUUACUCACGACAAGUAAAGUAUAUGUUGAAAUUUAUAACUCAUGAGCUCUGUCUUUGUGAAGUAAG